rnacentral:rRNA from 1 species
AGGUUAAUUUGAACGCAUAUUGCACGUCGUGGGACCUACCAUGACGAACACAUACUUGAGCGCUU